rnacentral:tRNA from 1 species
AGGAAAGAGAGGGAUUCGACCCCCUCGGUA